UACGGAUGAAUACUCUAGAUGACGAGUCCGACGUUGAUAAAGCGCAGUCGGUCAUCGCCUGCGCUGGCGUUUGAUGAUACCCCUUAAAUACCAUUCAUGCUUUUCUGAUC
rnacentral:snoRNA from 1 species